rnacentral:tRNA from 1 species
GGUAAAGAUCCCGGUUCAAUGACAGAGUAUCUGCCUGGCAUGCAGAAGGCUCCAGGUUCAAUUUCUGGCCUCUCCA